rfam:Monodelphis domestica chromosome 2, whole genome shotgun sequence.
UCCUCGUUAGUAUAGUGGUGAGUAUCCCCGCCUGUCACGCGGGAGACCUGGGUUCAAUUCCCCGACGGGGAG